rnacentral:rRNA from 1 species
GACGAACGCUGGCGGCGUGCUUAACACAUGCAAGUCGAACGAUGAUGCUGGAGCUUGCUCCAGUUGAUUAGUGGCGAACGGGUGAGUAACACGUGAGCAAUCUGCCCUUGACUCUGGGAUAACUGCGGGAAACUGUAGCUAAUACCGGAUACUUUCACCGGAAGGCAUCUUCUGGUGAUGAAAGAAUUUCGGUCAGGGAUGAUCUCGCGGCCUAUCAGCUUGUUGGUGAGGUAACGGCUCACCAAGGCGCCGACGGGUAAACGGCCGGAGAGGGUGACCGGUCACAAUGGGACUAGGACACGGCCCAGACUCCUACGGGAGGCAGCAGUGGGGAAUAUUGCACAAUGGGCGCAAGCCUGAUGCAGCAACGCCGCGUGAGGGAUGAAGGCCUUCGGGUUGUAAACCUCUUUUAGCAGGGAAGAAGCGAAAGUGACGGUACCUGCAGAAAAAGCACCGGCUAACUACGUGCCAGCAGCCGCCGUAA